AAACUAUAUCCUGUAUGUUAAUAAAUACUUAAAUAUUUUUUUUUUAUUGAAGCUUGUAUUGAAUGCUUGAUAUGAAAGGACGUGGAUAAUACAAAGGGUCGUAGUUAAUACGACUAUAAAUAGGGAUGUUGAAGUUGUUCGUUGAUAUAUGGAAGAAGGUAAAAAUUCUAUUUUGAGAAUAGAGAAAUCACUUUUAGAUAUUGAAUUCACGAAAUUUAAAAUUUUGUAGUUCUUGCAUUUAACAUUAUUGAGAUUAUGUUUUUAGCAUUGCAGACAUUUUGUAAAUGACUCAAUUAGAAGUUCAAAAAUUGUUGGCAUCAGUGGAAAAGGAUGAGUUUGCGCUUAGAUGGGAUACUCAAGAGGCAAGAUUAAAAUGCACGAUACUCAGAAGGCACGCAACAUAUGAUCAAGCUCAAUAAAUGACACUUCGAUUUCUGUGACAGAUGACCAAACUUAGUAAAUGAUUUCGAUUUUUGCACGAAUAUUAGAAAUUGUUCUCUUAUCACUUAUUCUUUGUUAGUGGUAUAAUUUUUUUUUCUUUUCUUUUUUUCAAAUUUUGUUGGACUUAGUGGAAAGGGAGAAACGAGAGGAUAGGAGCUGAAGAUGAUGGUUGAAAGGAUGAAAUUCAAUGUCUUUUUGUUAGGAAAAUGGUUG
rnacentral:lncRNA from 1 species